CUCUUACACAGUAUUAUAACUAAACUGUCUCAUGGAAAGCUCCUGGAUGCACAGCGCAUAGCCAAAGAACAUUGCGUUGAUCUAGAGAAGUGCUGGACGAAGGAGGUAAAAAUUAUCUGUGGCCUGAAGGAGGACCUCUCAGUCCUCAACAGGAAAAUGGUUUAGCGCACUUUUAGGAUGAGCUUUACCGCCCAGCACAAUCGUAUCGCAGCUUCCAUACAUGAUAAACGAUUCAUUCUUCAGCCUAUACAGGUGCACAAGAUUGCCACCACAAUCUACUAUUCGUUUCUCCAAUAAUUUGCCUACG